rnacentral:rRNA from 1 species
CGGAGUGGACGCAUCACUGGUGUUCGGGUUGUCAUGCCAAUGGCACUGCCCGGUAGCUAAAUGCGGAAGAGAUAAGUGCUGAAAGCAUCUAAGCACGAAACUUGCCCCGAGAUGAGUUCUCCCUGAGACUUUAAGUCUCCUGAAGGAACGUUAAAGACGAUGACGUUGAUAGGCCGGGUGUGUAAGCGCAGCGAUGCGUUGAGCUAACCGGUACUAAUGAACCGUGAGGCUUAACCUU